rnacentral:rRNA from 1 species
UUCCUACGGGAGGCAGCAGUGGGGAAUAUUGGACAAUGGGCGAAAGCCUGAUCCAGCCAUGCCGCGUGUGUGAAGAAGGUCUUCGGAUUGUAAAGCACUUUAAGUUGGGAGGAAGGGCAGUAAGUUAAUACCUUGCUGUUUUGACGUUACCAACAGAAUAAGCACCGGCUAACUUCGUGCCAGCAGCCGCGGUAAU